GCCCUGAAGGGCGUAUGGUGGAUGCCUUGGCAGACAGUACCGAUGAAGGACGUUUGAGGAUGCGAUAAGCCUCGGGGAGCCUCCAACAUGGCUUCGAUCCGAGGAUUUCCGAAUGGGGCAACCCGCCGGCCGUCAUGGGCCGGCACGGAACCUUGUUGUUCCGGGGGUACGCAGGGAAGUGAAACAUCUCAGUACCUGCAGGAAGGGAUACUCCGUGAGUAGUGGCGAGCGAAAGCGGAUCAGACCAAACCAUGGGCGCGUGAUACCCGUCGGGGGUUGCGUUCGUGGUGUUGCGGGAGCGUGUGUCCCGGUUCCGACGGACCGGGCGGGAGUCAUAAAACGGCUUGCCAGGGGAGCAGGCUUGAAGGCCUGGCCGCAGAGGGUGCCAGCCCCGUACC
rnacentral:rRNA from 1 species